rnacentral:lncRNA from 1 species
CGCCCAGGGCGCACCACCGGCCCGCCGGCUCGGAUGCUGCGAGGGAGUUCAGCGCCCCCCGGGGACGGUCCAGUGUCUGGUCCGGGACUGGCUGCCGGACGGCUGGGCCGGAUCUGCUCGGCCGCAGCGGGGCGCUCUGGGGAGGUCAGGCCCGCGCCGAGCUGCCUCCCGCUGCCUAAGCGCAGGCCCUGCGCCGCCUUUGCUCCCUCUUCCCCAGCUCAGCCCGGCCAGCCUGAGACGCGGCGUGGCAGCUUCCAAAAAGUGCUCUCUACCAUCCUCUGACUCCCCUCUUCCUUCUUGCCCUGGAUUUCUCCCGCCUCCUAAUUUCUCUCUCCUCUGCUUUCCCGGCCUCUCGCCCCACCCGGAGUCCUUAAAACAGCCCAGCUCCCUGCAGGGAGGUGGGCAGGACCCCAGAGGGGAAGGGGAGGGAGGCACAAGUUGGGCGGGUCGAGGGGACACGGCGGGAGAGAAUUCGAAAAAGUUGUAACAUCUGCC